AAGUCGUAACAAGGUUUCCGUAGGUGAACCUGCGGAAGGAUCAUUAUUGAUUUGGGUUUUGCACACACCAGUGCUUCUCCCUUGCUGUACCCGCAAAACUGACCCGGAUGUCCGCGUGCUUGCUACUUGCAAAUUAAGGCCUUUGAUGGCAUCUAGCCUCGGCCCGCUUGUUUUGUAGUUAUGGCUUUCGCGCAUCUGUGAUGUUUUGCUGGGUACACUGCAAAAAAAUACUCUUGUGAACUCGUACUACCCAAUUUUUAUAAAUAUAGAAGCCUUAAGUUAUUUUUGUGUCCCCUCGCAGGGCUCAAUCAUUUAUUAAUUAUACAUAACUUUUAACAACGGAUCUCUUGGCUCUC
rnacentral:misc_RNA from 1 species